GAUGAAGAACGUAGCAAAAUGCGAUACUUGGUGUGAAUUGCAGAAUCCCGUGAACCAUCGAGUUUUUGAACGCAAGUUGCGCCCGAAGCCUUUUGGCCGAGGGCACGUCUGCCUGGGCGUCACGCAUCGCGUCGCCCCCUCCGACAAUUCUCCGCAAAGGGAACUUGAGUUUUGGGGGCGGAUAUUGGUCUCCCGUGCUCAUGGCGUGGUUGGCCGAAAUAGGAGUCCCUUCGAUGGACGCACGAACUAGUGGUGGUCGUAAAAACCCUCGUCUUUUGUUUCGUGCCGUUAGUCGCGAGGGAAACUCUUAGAAAACCCCAGCGUGUCGUCUUUUGACGGCGCUUCGACCGCGACCCCAGGUCAGGCGGGACUACCCGCUGAGUUUAAGCAUAUCAAUAAGCGGAGGA
rnacentral:misc_RNA from 1 species